rnacentral:rRNA from 1 species
UUGAUAGUAGAACGUUUUGGAAAGAACGGCCAUAGAGGGUGAUAGCCCCGUAAUCGAAAGGCAUACAUAGAUGAUAAAUGAGUAGGGCGGGACACGUGAAAUCCUGUCUGAAUAUGGGGGGACCAUCCUCCAAGGCUAAAUACUCCUGAAAGACCGAUAGUGAACAAGUACUGUGAAGGAAAGGUGAAAAGCACUUCGAAUAGAAGGGUGAAAUAGAACCUGAAACCGUACGCCUACAAGCGGUCGGAGCAGAUUUAUUCUGUGACGGCGUGCCUUUUGCAUAAUGAGCCUACGAGUUAAUUUUACUAGCGAGGUUAAGGACUUCAGGUCCGGAGCCGGAGCGAAAGCGAGUCUGAAUAGGGCGAUUGAGUCGCGUGUCCUAGACCCGAAGCGGAGUGAUCUACCCAUGGCCAGGUUGAAGCGCGUGUAAGAGCGCGUGGAGGACCGAACCCACUUCAGUUGAAAAUGGAGGGGAUGAGCUGUGGAUAGGGGUGAAAGGCC